rnacentral:rRNA from 1 species
CUAAUACCGCAUACGUCCUACGGGAGAAAGCAGGGGACCUUCGGGCCUUGCGCUAUCAGAUGAGCCUAGGUCGGAUUAGCUAGUUGGUGGGGUAAUGGCUCACCAAGGCGACGAUCCGUAACUGGUCUGAGAGGAUGAUCAGUCACACUGGAACUGAGACACGGUCCAGACUCCUACGGGAGGCAGCAGUGGGGAAUAUUGGACAAUGGGCGAAAGCCUGAUCCAGCCAUGCCGCGUGUGUGAAGAAGGUCUUCGGAUUGUAAAGCACUUUAAGUUGGGAGGAAGGGCAGUAAAUUAAUACUUUGCUGUUUUGACGUUACCGACAGAAUAAGCACCGGCUAACUCUGUGCCAGCAGCCGCGGUAAUACAGAGGGUGCAAGCGUUAAUCGGAAUUACUGGGCGUAAAGCGCGCGUAGGUGGUUCGUUAAGUUGGAUGUGAAAUCCCCGGGCUCAACCUGGGAACUGCAUUCAAAACUGACGAGCUAGAGUAUGGUAGAGGGUGGUGGAAUUUCCUGUGUAGCGGUGAAAUGCGUAGAUAUAGGAAGGAACACCAGUGGCGAA